UCCAUCAUGGUGUAGUGGCUAACAUUAUCGCCUCUCAUAUAAGGUUAAUAUUGUGAGCGCGAUAGCCCAGGGUUCGAUUCCCUGUGAUGGAA